rnacentral:rRNA from 1 species
UACGUAGGGGGCGAGCGUUAUCCGGAUUUAUUGGGCGUAAAGCGUGCGUAGGCGGUUUGUUAAGUCCAGAAUUAAAGCCCGAGGCUUAACCUCGGUUCGUUCUGGAUACUGGCAGGCUAGAGUAUGGUAGAGGCAAAUGGAAUUCCUAGUGUAGCGGUGAAAUGCGUAGAUAUUAGGAGGAACACCAGUGGCGAAAGCGAUUUGCUGGGCCAUCACUGACGCUGAGGUACGAAAGCGUGGGGAGCAAAUAGG